UACCAGCACCCCGAGUGGUCGGGACGAUUAUUGGGCCUAAAGCAUCCGUAGCCGGUUCUACAAGUCUUCCGUUAAAUCCAACUGCUUAACAGUUGGGCUGCGGAGGAUACUAUAGAGCUAGGAGGCGGGAGAGGCAAGCGGUACUUAGUGGGUAGGGGUAAAAUCCGUUGAUCCACUGAAGACCACCAGUGGCGAAGGCGGCUUGCCAGAACGCGCUCGACGGUGAGGGAUGAAAGCUGGGGGAGCAAACCGGAUUAGAAACCCGCGUAGUCC
rnacentral:rRNA from 1 species